AGUGAAUGCAGUGUUAAUGUGUAGUGAAUGCAGAGAGUGUGUUAGUGUGUAGCGGAUGCAGAGUGUGUGUUAGUGUAGCGGAUGCAGAGUGUGUGUUAGUGUAGCGGAUGCAGUGUGUGUUGCGUUAGUGUAUGCAGUGUGUGUUGCGUUAGUGUAUGCAGUGUGUGUGUGUUAGUGUAUGCAGUGUGUUGUGUUAGUGUAUGCAGUGUGUGUGUUAGUGUAUGCAGUGUGUGUGUGUGUGUGUGUGUGUCAGUGUAUGCAGUGUGUGUUGUGUUAGUGUAUGCAGUGUGUGUGUGUUGUGUUAGUGAAUGCAGUGUAUGUGUGUGUUAUUGUAUGCAGUGUGUGUGUUGU